rnacentral:ncRNA from 1 species
CGCAGCCGUGCGGGAGAGUUCCGGGGGUAGCCUCGGACGCCGAAGGAGCAGCACCUCCCCGGCAAUCUCUCAGGCACAAGGGACCGUGCGGAGUUU